AAUACAUCUAACAUGCUAACGCAUAUCCGACGGCAUCACCCAGAUGUGCCAAUCACUGGAACAAGACAAAAAAAACUGUCCAACUUCUCCUCCCUACAAUGCUUAACCAGCCUUUAGAUACAAAUACAAAUAGGGCCAAAAAAGUCACUGAAGCAAUCGGAAUUUACAUGUCAUCUUCAAUGCGCCCAUAUUCACUCGUAGAGGAACCUGGCUUCAAGUAUUUGCUGUAUGUACUCGAACCUCGUUACAACAUGCCAUCCCGUCCACACAUGAGGCUUAACUGUAACAGACCUCUUUCACAGCCG